CUUAGGAGGACUGCCGCUGCUAAAGCGGAGGAAGGAACGGGCAACGGUAGGUCAGUAUGCCCCGAAUGUGCUGGGCUACACGCGGGCUACAAUGGCCGGGACAAUGGGUUCCUACCUCGAAAGAGGAUGGUAAUCUCAGAAACCCGGUCGUAGUUCGGAUUGAGGGCUGAAACUCGCCCUCAUGAAGCUGGAUUCGGUAGUAAUCGCGUCUCAAAAGGGCGCGGUGAAUACCUCCCUGCUCCUUGCACAACCUCUUUCCUCUCCCUACUCCUUUCACAUCUCCUUUACUCACCCAACAACCUUCUCAACUCUUUACCUACCCCCCCCCCCCCCCC
rnacentral:rRNA from 1 species